GUGAUUGGUCCUUUUACCCUUUGUGUCCCAGUCUUCCAUCUGGUCCCCUAGGGGAGUGUCCACCAGGUGGGAGACCUGCAUAAAAGCCGGGCAGGUAGCCCCAGUAAACCAGAUUCUGCUUGACCCUCAAAACGAAAUGUCGUCUCGUUCUUGGGGGGAAUUGGAUUGUAUGCUGAUUGCCAGGAGUGUAAGCUGAUUGUAUGCUUUUCCUGUUCGGCUGUUUCCAGUAUUCGUGUGUUUCCG